UACUAACUGGAAUUUUUCUCCUGGUAUACACACAACAGUCGGAGAGCAAUUCAAAUAUUGUUUUAAUAUAUUUAUAAUAGAAAUCAAGUCUCAGAUGUGUAGGAAAAAGCUCCAAGCAAAAGUCAGAUCAAGUUUUAGAAGGCUUCUACACAUGAAACAACAAACGUAUUGCAAAUCUGUUACAGCUGUGUCUUUCAGUUUCUGACAUUUGAGUGGACCAGAGCCUUUCCAGUGGGGAGGAGGAUGCAGUCACUGCGACCUGCAGGAACAAAAGCAUUAAGGAACGCUGAGGGACCAGAUUCAAUCAGUUGAGCGAGGCAUGAUCACGGAGCUGCUUUAGGUUGGCAUGUUUCUUAGACUUCUCCCGCAAACACAGAUGUGUCGGGGUUGGAGUUCUCUGUGUUUUUUUUGUAUUGUCUGUGUUUGGUUUUCUAAAGGGCGUUGGAGAGCAGGAGCAGAGACAGGUGUUCUCCAUUCACCUGUGAUGAGGCUUCUGGAGUAUUUAAUCAGGAGGCAGCCAGCAUGUCAGCGCUCAAAUUUUAGCCUUCAGUGGUACUAUUCAAGCCGACCUUUGAGCCGCUUCUCGUAUUGCUUUCUUCAACCUUGUUAUGAGACCUUGCUUAUGAGACCUCGUUCCAAGUUUCCCAUGAAUGGAUCUACAAACUGGUGUCUUGCUAACGCUAUGCUGCUGGAUUUCCUCCUGCUGAUCUUUUCCUGGAUUCGACCUCCUCCACGAAACCUGUCCACCCUCCACCGCUCCACUCGUGCCCACCAUACAAUCCUCCAAACACUGUUAACGUUCAAGGGACUAAGUAUCUUGGCAGAAUUCACCUCCAUAGUCCCACGCUAUUUCCUCCGGCCCGACUCCCUCUCCUCCUGGCGGUUUGUCAACAACCAACUACUUUGCCUAGUGUGCCAAGACCGUACUUACUUCUGUGCUUUCAAUAAAUCUGUUAAAAACG